AUUUAGGGAUCGUGAGGGGAAAUUGGGAGUUCUGAGGGGUGAAAUCGAGGGUCGUGAGGGAAAAUCGGGGGUCGUGAGGGGAGAUAGAGGGUUCUGAGGAGGAUUCGGGUGUCUUGGUCGAGGGUUAUGGCGGGAGUUUGAGAUCUUGAGGGGAGAUCGGGGAUCAUGAGGGGGGAUCGGAGGUUCUGAAGGGGAUUCGGGGGUAGUGAGGGGAGAUCGGGACUCGUGAGAGGAGAUCCGGGGUCUUGAGGGGAGGGUUAUGACGGGAAUUGGGGAUCGUGAGGGUAGAUCGGGGGUUCUGAGGGGGAUUCGGGGGUCGUGAGGGGAGAUCGGGGGUCAUGACUUGAAUUUGGGGAUCGUGAGGGGGGAUCGGGGCUCUCUGGGCAAUCCGGGCUCUCUCGCCACCGGUGUUGGGGGGGAUUUUUGGCUGUCUCUGCGGGCAAACAAAACGCUGGCCCGGCGAGGUGGAGGAUUUGGGGUUCCCGGUCACUUUUGUGGGGGGCUGUCGCGGUGAUGAUGCCAAAGACUAGAGUCUCCGAGCCCCCUGAGGACAGCACCGGCCUGAGCGACGCCCCCAGCCCCCUCUGAAUCCCCCCCGGGUCCCCCCGAACCGCGCCUCUCACCCCGUUCCUCUGCCGCAGGUGCCGGUGACCGGCGGGACCGCGCCGAGACCCCCGCCCCGGAGGAAUCCUCGGCGCCCGCAGCUCCGCCGCGCGGUGGGAGGCGGCCAGGGCGCGGCUUUGGGUGGAAAAAAGAAAAAAAAAAUAGAAAAAAAAAAGGUCGAGGCCACCGAGGGACAAAAUCAGGAG